UACAGAGGUCUCAAGCGUUGUUCGGAUUCAUUGGGCGUAAAGGGUGCGUAGGUGGCUAGGCUAGUCAGGUGUGAAAUCUCGGGGCUCAACCCCGAAACUGCACUUGAUACUGCCUUGCUAGAGUACUGGAGAGGAGAGUGGAAUUUACGGUGUAGCAGUGAAAUGCGUAGAUAUCGUAAGGAAGACCAGUGGCGAAGGCGAAGCUCUGGACAGUUACUGACACUGAGGCACGAAGGCCAGGGGAGCAAACGGG
rnacentral:rRNA from 1 species